CGGCCACCAGCGCCAGCACCUUGGCGCUCCUCACGCUGAAGUAGUGGUUGAUCUCCCGCUUGCCCAGGAGGUAAUAGAGAUAAAGAGGACGGGAAAAGGAGACGCAAUGGAGCAGCCAUAAUAGUAGGAGGAGCAGUUUUGAGGCAUCCUGAAAAUGCAUUCCCAGGACAUUGUCCCAGGCUGCAGAGGAAUUUGGUUCCUGAGUCUCCUCACACAUUCAGAAAAUAUUGCAUCUUCUAUGUUAUAGAAACAAUAAGUGCAAAAAUAUAUUUAAAAAGAGCUCAUACAAGAGACUGGCACAAGUUAGAGACGGCUGACCUUCAGAGGAUCAAGGGUCAGGAAAUGUUGUGAGGAGGGUCCCUCAGGCCUGAUGAUUAGCCUCUAUGGAGGGGACUGGUCGUGGAAGGAUCAAGCCUUCAGCCUUUUGCCCAAGCCCCAGGCACAUUCACAGUGGAUCUUCUGGCUUGGCACACACAGAGAGAGAGAGAGAGAGGCAGAGACACAGGCAGAGGGAGAAGCAGGCUCCAUGCACCGGGAGCCCGACGUGGGAUUCGAUCCCGGGUCUCCAGGAUCGCGCCCUGGGCCAAAGGCAGGCGCCAAACCGCUGCACCACCCAGGGAUCCCCGAGGAAGAUCAUUUUAGAUCUGUAUACAUGCCAGAUGUCCAC